GGUAAAAAAGCUCGUAGUUGGAUUUCUGUUGAGGACGACCGGUCCAUACCAUGUAUGCGCAUCUGGCUCGGCCUCGGCAUCCUCUCGUUUUGGGUGUCUGUGCUUUAUUGCAUGGAGCUUAUAGCGGGACUUUUACUUUGAGGAAAUUAGAGUGUUCACGGCAGGCAAUCGCCAGAAUACAUUAGCAUGGAAUAAUAUUAUAGGAUCGAGAUUCUAUUUUGUUGGUUUCUAGAAUUUUGAUAAUGAUUAAUAGGGACAAUUGGGGGCAUUCGUAUCAACACGUCAGAGGUGGAAUUCUUGGAUUGUGUUGCGACGAACUACUGCGAAAGCAUUUGCCAAGGAUGUUUCCAUUGAUCAAGAACGAAAGUAAGGGGAUCGAAGACGAUUAGAUACCGUCGUAGUCUUUACCAUAAACUAUGCCAACUAGAGAUGGGGCAUCGUUCACUUACGACUUGCUCCGCACCUUAUGAGAUAUCAAAGUCUUUGGGUUCCGGGGGGAGUAUGGUCGCAAGGCUGAAACUUAAAGGAAUUGACGGAAGGGCACCACCAGGAGUGGAGCCUGCGGCUUAAUUUGACUCAACACGGGGAAACUCACCAGGUCCAGACAUAAUAAGGAUUGACAGAUUGAUAGCUCUUUCUUGAUUUUAUGGGUGGUGGUGCAUGGCCGUUCUUAGUUCGUGGAGUGAUUUGUCUGCUUAAUUGCGUUAACG
rnacentral:rRNA from 1 species